GACGAACGCUGGCGGCGUGCUUAACACAUGCAAGUCGAACGGAAAGGCCCGGCUUUUGUGGGGUGCUCGAGUGGCGAACGGGUGAGUAACACGUGAGUAACCUGCCCUUGACUUUGGGAUAACUUCAGGAAACUGGGGCUAAUACCGGAUAGGAGCUCCUGCUGCAUGGUGGGGGUUGGAAAGUUUCGGCGGUUGGGGAUGGACUCGCGGCUUAUCAGCUUGUUGGUGAGGUAGUGGCUUACCAAGGCUUUGACGGGUAGCCCGCCUGAGAGGGUGACCGGCCACAUGGGGACUGAGAUACGGACCAGACUCCUACGGGAGGCAGCAGUGGGGAAUCUUGCACAAUGGGCGGAAGCCUGAUGCAGCAACGCCGCGUGCGGGAUGACGGCCUUCGGGUUGUAAACCGCUUUCGCCGGUGACGAAGAGUGAGUGACGGUAAUGGGUAAAGAAGCACCGGCUAACUACGUG
rnacentral:rRNA from 1 species